rnacentral:rRNA from 1 species
GGGUUGUGAGGUUAAGCGACUAAGCGUACACGGUGGAUGCCCUGGCAGUCAGAGGCGAUGAAGGACGUGCUAAUCUGCGAUAAGCGUCGGUAAGGUGAUAUGAACCGUUAUAACCGGCGAUUUCCGAAUGGGGAAACCCAGUGUGAUUCGUCACACUAUCAUUAACUGAAUCCAUAGGUUAAUGAGGCGAACCGGGGGAACUGAAACAUCUAAGUACCCCGAGGAAAAGAAAUCAACCGAGAUUCCCCCAGUAGCGGCGAGCGAACGGGGAGGAGCCCAGAGCCUGAAUCAGUGUGUGUGUUAGUGGAAGCGUCUGGAAAGGCGCGCGAUACAGGGUGACAGCCCCGUACACAAAAAUACACAUAUUGUGAGCUCGAUGAGUAGGGCGGGACACGUGGUAUCCUGUCUGAAUAUGGGGGGACCAUCCUCCAAGGCUAAAUACUCCUGACUGACCGAUAGUGAACCAGUACCGUGAGGGAAAGGCGAAAAGAACCCCGGCGAGGGGAGUGAAAAAGAACCUGAAACCGUGUACGUACAAGCAGUGGGAGCACGCUUAGGCGUGUGACUGCGUACCUUUUGUAUAAUGGGUCAGCGACUUAUAUUCUGUAGCAAGGUUAACCGAAUAGGGGAGCCGAAGGGAAACCGAGUCUUAACUGGGCGUUAAGUUGCAGGGUAUAGACCCGAAACCCGGUGAUCUAGCCAUGGGCAGGUUGAAGGUUGGGUAACACUAACUGGAGGACCGAACCGACUAAUGUUGAAAAAUUAGCGGAUGACUUGUGGCUGGGGGUGAAAGGCCAAUCAAACCGGGAGAUAGCUGGUUCUCCCCGAAAGCUAUUUAGGUAGCGCCUCGUGAAUUCAUCUCCGGGGGUAGAGCACUGUUUCGGCAAGGGGGUCAUCCCGACUUACCAACCCGAUGCAAACUGCGAAUACCGGAGAAUGUUAUCACGGGAGACACACGGCGGGUGCUAACGUCCGUCGUGAAGAGGGAAACAACCCAGACCGCCAGCUAAGGUCCCAAAGUCAUGGUUAAGUGGGAAACGAUGUGGGAAGGCCCAGACAGCCAGGAUGUUGGCUUAGAAGCAGCCAUCAUUUAAAGAAAGCGUAAUAGCUCACUGGUCGAGUCGGCCUGCGCGGAAGAUGUAACGGGGCUAAACCAUGCACCGAAGCUGCGGCAGCGACGCUUAUGCGUUGUUGGGUAGGGGAGCGUUCUGUAAGCCUGUGAAGGUGUGCUGUGAGGCAUGCUGGAGGUAUCAGAAGUGCGAAUGCUGACAUAAGUAACGAUAAAGCGGGUGAAAAGCCCGCUCGCCGGAAGACCAAGGGUUCCUGUCCAACGUUAAUCGGGGCAGGGUGAGUCGACCCCUAAGGCGAGGCCGAAAGGCGUAGUCGAUGGGAAACAGGUUAAUAUUCCUGUACUUGGUGUUACUGCGAAGGGGGGACGGAGAAGGCUAUGUUGGCCGGGCGACGGUUGUCCCGGUUUAAGCGUGUAGGCUGGUUUUCCAGGCAAAUCCGGAAAAUCAAGGCUGAGGCGUGAUGACGAGGCACUACGGUGCUGAAGCAACAAAUGCCCUGCUUCCAGGAAAAGCCUCUAAGCAUCAGGUAACAUCAAAUCGUACCCCAAACCGACACAGGUGGUCAGGUAGAGAAUACCAAGGCGCUUGAGAGAACUCGGGUGAAGGAACUAGGCAAAAUGGUGCCGUAACUUCGGGAGAAGGCACGCUGAUAUGUAGGUGAAGUCCCUCGCGGAUGGAGCUGAAAUCAGUCGAAGAUACCAGCUGGCUGCAACUGUUUAUUAAAAACACAGCACUGUGCAAACACGAAAGUGGACGUAUACGGUGUGACGCCUGCCCGGUGCCGGAAGGUUAAUUGAUGGGGUCAGCGCAAGCGAAGCUCUUGAUCGAAGCCCCGGUAAACGGCGGCCGUAACUAUAACGGUCCUAAGGUAGCGAAAUUCCUUGUCGGGUAAGUUCCGACCUGCACGAAUGGCGUAAUGAUGGCCAGGCUGUCUCCACCCGAGACUCAGUGAAAUUGAACUCGCUGUGAAGAUGCAGUGUACCCGCGGCAAGACGGAAAGACCCCGUGAACCUUUACUAUAGCUUGACACUGAACAUUGAGCCUUGAUGUGUAGGAUAGGUGGGAGGCUUUGAAGUGUGGACGCCAGUCUGCAUGGAGCCGACCUUGAAAUACCACCCUUUAAUGUUUGAUGUUCUAACGUUGACCCGUAAUCCGGGUUGCGGACAGUGUCUGGUGGGUAGUUUGACUGGGGCGGUCUCCUCCUAAAGAGUAACGGAGGAGCACGAAGGUUGGCUAAUCCUGGUCGGACAUCAGGAGGUUAGUGCAAUGGCAUAAGCCAGCUUGACUGCGAGCGUGACGGCGCGAGCAGGUGCGAAAGCAGGUCAUAGUGAUCCGGUGGUUCUGAAUGGAAGGGCCAUCGCUCAACGGAUAAAAGGUACUCCGGGGAUAACAGGCUGAUACCGCCCAAGAGUUCAUAUCGACGGCGGUGUUUGGCACCUCGAUGUCGGCUCAUCACAUCCUGGGGCUGAAGUAGGUCCCAAGGGUAUGGCUGUUCGCCAUUUAAAGUGGUACGCGAGCUGGGUUUAGAACGUCGUGAGACAGUUCGGUCCCUAUCUGCCGUGGGCGCUGGAGAACUGAGGGGGGCUGCUCCUAGUACGAGAGGACCGGAGUGGACGCAUCACUGGUGUUCGGGUUGUCAUGCCAAUGGCACUGCCCGGUAGCUAAAUGCGGAAGAGAUAAGUGCUGAAAGCAUCUAAGCACGAAACUUGCCCCGAGAUGAGUUCUCCCUGACUCCUUGAGAGUCCUGAAGGAACGUUGAAGACGACGACGUUGAUAGGCCGGGUGUGUAAGCGCAGCGAUGCGUUGAGCUAACCGGUACUAAUGAACCGUGAGGCUUAACCUUACAACGCCGAAG